UACAGGGGCCCCAAGCGUUAAUCGGAAUUACUGGGCUUAAAGGGUGCGUAGGCGGCUACGUAAGUGCUCUGUGAAAGCCCUCGGCUCAACCGAGGAACAGCAGGGCAUACUGCGGAGCUUGAGUCCGGGAGAGGUGAGUGGAACUCCGAGUGUAGAGGUGAAAUUCGUAGAUAUUCGCAAGAACACCAGUGGCGAAGGCGGCUCACUGGCCCGGUACUGACGCUGAGGUGCGAAAGCGUGGGGAGCAAACAGG
rnacentral:rRNA from 1 species